UGUAUUUAUUAGAUAAAAAACCAACGCCCUCCGGGGCCCCUUGGUGAUUCAUGAUAACUCAACGAAUCGCAUGGCCUUGCGCCGGCGAUGGUUCAUUCAAACUUCUGCCCUAUCAACUUUCGAUGUUAGAGUAGUGGUCUAACAUGGUGUCAACGGGUAACGGGGAAUUAGGGUUCGAUUCCGGAGAAGGAGCCUGAGAAACGGUGAGUCCCGGAGUCCCGGCCGCCGAUCGACCGCUAACGUACCUAGGCUACUACAUCCAAGGAAGGCAGCAGGCGCGCAAAUUACCCAAUCCCGACUCGGGGAGGUAGUACGUAGCCCCUAUUCUUAGGCGGUAGUGACCCCGCUAACGUGACUUAGGUGACAAUAAAUACUGAUACAGGGCUCUUAUGGGUCUUGUAAUUGGAAUGAGUACAAUCUAAAUCCCUUAACGAGGAACAAUUGGAGGGCAAGUCUGGUGAAGACAGCUGUGGGCACCAGAGAUUGGGGGCCUCCGGGCCCCUCAGUCGCGCACGCCGCGGCGAGGUGUUUGGUACGGGGAAAGACCGCGGGCCGCCGCCCGCGUCAAUCCCGCGACGAGCCGGGUGCCGUCGUAACGCACGCCAACAUGCCGGUCACCCGCCCCCGGGGGGUGACUCGAGGGACGUGCUACCGUCGCUCCGCAGGGGGCGCCUACCAGUGGCCAGCAGCCGCGGUAAUUCCAGCUCCAAUAGCGUAUAUUAAAGUUGUUGCGGUUAAAAAGCUCGUAGUUGAACUUUGGGCCUGGCUGGCCGGUCCGCCUCACCGCGUGCACUGGUUCGGCCGGGCCUUUCCUCCUGGGGAACGGCAUGCCCUUCACUGGGCGUGUUCGGGAACCAGGACUUUUACUU
rnacentral:misc_RNA from 1 species